CCUCAGGUAGCUAACCAACACAAGCGCUGGCCUUUUAAGCCAGAAAUGGACACAUGAUCCCCUGGGGC
rnacentral:tRNA from 1 species